AAACCAACCGGGAUUGCCUCAGUAACGGCGAGUGAAGCGGCAAAAGCUCAAAUUUGAAAUCUGGCACUUUCAGUGUCCGAGUUGUAAUUUGUAGAAGUAGUUUUGGGACUGGUCCUUAUCUAUGUUUCUUGGAACAGGACGUCAUAGAGGGUGAGAACCCCGUAUGAUGAGGCCCCCAGUCCUUUGUAAAACGCUUUCGAAGAGUCGAGUUGUUUGGGAAUGCAGCUCUAAGUGGGUGGUAAAUUCCAUCUAAAGCUAAAUAUUGGCGAGAGACCGAUAGCGAACAAGUACAGCGAUGGAAAGAUGAAAAGAACUUUGAAAAGAGAGUGAAAAAGUACGUGAAAUUGUUGAAAGGGAAGGGCAUUUGAUCAGACAUGGUGUUUUGCGCCCUUUGCUCCUUGUGGGCGGAGGAUACGCAGCUCACUGGGCCAACAUCAGUUUUGGGAGCAGGAUAAAUCUGUAGGAACGUAGCUUUCUUCGGGGAAGUGUUAUAGCCUACGGGAAUACUGCUACCUGGGGA
rnacentral:rRNA from 1 species